UACAUAUAAAAUGAUUUGCUUGCAGUUGAAAGCAUCAGUUUUUAUAUAUUUAAUUUUCAUAUUUUAUUCUGUCCCAGUUGUCGAGUCCGGGAUUGACGAUGUCAUAAAGAAAUUAUUAUCACUUGUAAAAGAAGGUAGUGUUCAAAUGCAAUAUGUUGGACAAUCCGCUAGAAACAUGGGCGAUGCCCUUCAGGAAAUGACCAAAGCAGCAGCUUCUAAUAUAAAAAUGUUGCAAAUGCUACGCGGGUGGAAAAAAUUAGAAAACGUUACAUCGGAAGAGCCAACUACUAACACGGAAAAUCCAGUCACUAAUUCGGAAAACCCAAUGGCUAACUCAGAAACAGUUGUUCUUAGUUGAUAAAGUUUAUUCUAAAUUAAAACAUAUAUUAAGGUUUUUUUAGAUCUUCAUAUCUGGCAUAUGUACUCUAAACAGAAUUCUUAAUUCUUAAUUGUCAAGCUUGGAAUGAAAAAUAUUACAAAAUGGAAAACUUAAAA